CGGGAUGUUUAGAAGAGAGUA
rnacentral:tRNA from 1 species